ensembl:lncRNA
UGGGUCGUGCAGAUUUCUCUUGGAGAGAGAGUCUCCAGCUGCCAUCACACAAAAACAUCUUCACAUGCGUGCAGCAGCAGUGAGCUACAUCAAACAGGGCUGGUCAGGCACCCCAUAGACUUUCAACUUCAGAGCCACAUCUAGACUUUUCUUUUGACUCCCUCUGUCUCCAAGACCACCACACAGGGUCAGAGAGCACUGUACACGGUCCUAGGGACUUUUCAUGCCAGUUCCUCAGAGACGAGAUGGCAAAACAAUCAGGAUUCCAGACUAAUGGAACAGGAAGACAUUUAUUAUGGACAACUUUGGUAUGUAAUGGAUUUUUGUUUGGCUUAAAGUUUCAGCAUCUUUUUAAUCAUGAAAUAUAAUGUAUUAUAUAUGUACAAAU